GGUUGUUGUUUCUCGCUUUUUUUUUAAUAUAUAAAUUGAGGAUAACCCAAGUUUGUUUGCAGAAUCUGUAGGCUUGGUUGUGCUCUGUUUUUUAUUGGCAAGUUAAUUAUUUGCACGGAUAAGAUUUUUCUCUGAAAAAUCAAAAGCUCUCCUCUGUUUUUUUAAUUUUUUGAAGGCGACACAAGCUUUACCAGAGGCCUCAAAUUUAAUGGU
rnacentral:misc_RNA from 1 species